ensembl:antisense 3110056K07Rik RIKEN cDNA 3110056K07 gene
GGUUCCCCGGCGCCAUUUUGUCCCGGCAGCAGCAGCCCGCAGCUCUAUCCCAUUUUCUGUGUCUGGAGGGAAGGACGCGGACUCUCUCGGAGUUGUGCUGAAGACAACAGACACCUCCAUGACAACCCAAAGUAUCACAGAGGAAAUGAAAAGCUGUGGACUCAUUCAAAGUUAAUUAAGAUUAGGUAUGACCAUGGAAGACUUGUGUAUGACCAUGGAAGACUUCUAGAGAAUCUUGACUGGUGAUGUGGAAAAAGAGACCCAGAAGAACAAAAAAACAGAGGCUCUGCUAAAGCCUUGCUGUAUAGUACAAGAGAGCACCUUAGUUACAAGGAUGAAAAGAUGGCUUUCUGAAGAGGAACAAGUACUACCAAUCACAAACUAUGAAAGGUGCCAAAGGGUUGACUUCCAACAGGAACUUCAAAGACUAUUUCAGCAACAGACCCUGGAUUGUACCAUACUCAAACUAUUUAAAGGAAUUACUUUCACUUUCCAAUGUAAUAUGGUUCUUAACUGACUUAAAAAAGGAAGACUGCUUCAUAACAGAAGGUAAAUGAAGAGAGAUGAGUCUUGGUAAGAAUGGGAAUAGUAAGAAACAAAAUCCCUUUGUGAGAGAUUAUAGGCACCAUCUUUUAUUAUGAUAGAACCCAGAUUUUUUUCCUUGUUUGUAUUAUCAAAUGCAAAACCUGAAAGAUACUAUUACAUAAAGAACCAUAUUCAGC